rnacentral:rRNA from 1 species
AAACUUUCAACAACGGAUCUCUUGGUUCUGGCAUCGAUGAAGAACGCAGCGAAAUGCGAUAAGUAAUGUGAAUUGCAGAAUUCAGUGAAUCAUCGAAUCUUUGAACGCACAUUGCGCCCGCCAGUAUUCUGGCGGAAUGCCUGUCC